GUAAGCUAUCGCUGAGGGAUGGGCCUGCGGCCAUUAGCUUGUGGUGAGGUAACGGCUCACCAAGGCUGUGAUGGCUAGCUGGUCUGAGAGGAUGACCAGCCACACUGGGACUGAGACACGGCCCAGACUCCUACGGGAGGCAGCAGUGGGAAUAUUGCGCAAUGGGCGAAAGCCUGACGCAGCGACGCCGCGUGGGUGAUGAAGGCCUUCGGGUCGUAAAGCCCUGUCGCAGGGGAAGAAUAAGCAUCGGUAUAAUACGCCGGUGCCCUGACGGUACCCUGCAAGAAAGCACCGGCUAACUCCGUG
rnacentral:rRNA from 1 species